GAUGAACGCUGACAGAAUGCUUAACACAUGCAAGUCUUUGGCGAAGCUGUGCUUGCACAGCCUAGCCAAGGCGGACGGGUGAGUAACGCGUAAGGAACUUGCCCUGCAGUCAGGGAUAACAGACGGAAACGACUGAUAAGACCUGGUAAAGUCAGGCGGACUCAUGUCCAGCCUGAUGAAAAGAGAUGCUGCAGGAGAGCCUUGCGUCCUAUUAGCUUGUUGGUGGGGUAACGGCCCACCAAGGCGAUGAUAGGUAGCCGGCCUGAGAGGGUGGACGGCCACAAGGGGACUGAGAUACGGCCCUUACUCCUACGGGAGGCAGCAGUGGGGAAUAUUGGACAAUGGGGGCAACCCUGAUCCAGCAAUUCUGUGUGCACGAUGAAGGUUUUCGGAUUGUAAAGUGCUUUCAGCAGGGAAGAAAAAAAUGACGGUACCUGCAGAAGAAGCGACGGCUAAUACGUG
rnacentral:rRNA from 1 species